GACGAACGCUGGCGGCGUGCUUAACACAUGCAAGUCGAACGGAAAGGCCCUGCUUUUGUGGGGUGCUCGAGUGGCGAACGGGUGAGUAACACGUGAGUAACCUGCCCUUGACUUUGGGAUAACUUCAGGAAACUGGGGCUAAUACCGGAUAGGAGCUCCUGCUGCAUGGUGGGGGUUGGAAAGUUUCGGCGGUUGGGGAUGGACUCGCGGCUUAUCAGCUUGUUGGUGGGGUAGUGGCUUACCAAGGCUUUGACGGGUAGCCGGCCUGAGAGGGUCACCGGCCACAUUGGGACUGAGAUACGGCCCAGACUCCUACGGGAGGCAGCAGUGGGGAAUAUUGCACAAUGGGCGGAAGCCUGAUGCAGCAACGCCGCGUGCGGGAUGACGUCCUUCGGGUUGUAAACCGCUUUCGCCUGUGACGAAGCGUGAGUGACGGUAAUGGGUAAAGAAGCACCGGCUAACUACGUG
rnacentral:rRNA from 1 species